rnacentral:misc_RNA from 1 species
GUACCCUCAAGCUUUGCUUGGUGUUGGGCGUUUUGUCUUUGGCUUUUGCCCAAAGACUCGCCUUAAAACGAUUGGCAGCCGGCCUACUGGUUUCGGAGCGCAGCACAUUUUUGCGCUUGCAACUAGCUAAAGAGGCCAGCAAUCCAUCAAGACCUUCUUCUCAC